CAGUAACAUUUUCCAGUGGUAACCCCCAAUUUGAGAGUAAUAAAUGAAAGAGAGCCCACUUGAGUGAGUGAUAUCACGAUAAUGAGUAAAAUAAAUUGAUAUCACUGUACUUUCCAGUUUAAGUUUAUUUUAGAAAUGAUGUGCUGAGAAAGGAAGAUCUAUAUCAUCUGCUAUCGAUCGUUUUAUAGAUAAUCUUUAAUAUAAGUUUUUAUAAAAUUCUCGUGGUUGAACCAGAAUUAAUAAAUACUUCUUCUAAUUAAGAGGUAUCUAUAUCGUCUGGUUAAGGCUAACACCACGAAAUGAUAUUGAUAUCGAAGAAGGCAGAAACAUCUUAAGAGAAUUUGACGUAUGUGCUUUUUGGAUUUGGAUUGAGGUUGUUACAAACUUUCCUCUUUCUAGGCAUAUAAACUAUUGUACGAAUAUUUUUUGGAAAUUCUACUGAUGAGACAGAGCUUGAUCAUUUCAGCUAUUUCAGACAUCACAUGGUUUUCAAUGAAGCUCUAAUCAUUACAGUGAAUAAUAAGUUACAGGAAACCAAAUAAACACAAAUAUUUUGGGAGGUCAACAUUUUUUAUGACCUUCCCUUUUAAUGAUAUUCGUGCUUUUGGAACCGGAACUGAACCUAAUUUAUCUAGCCAAGAAUUGUCUACUCGGCAAUAAAAACUAUUUGGAGUUGUUUUCUGUCGCUUACACCUGUAAAACUGGACAGUGUUGGAACUUUGAAGGAUUCGAUUAGUAAAUUAAUGGAUAUAUUUUGGGAUGCAGUUUUGAAAGCUUUAGAACUCACCAAACUGUUCGGAGGCAACUUAAACUAGUAAAAUCUGUGUAUAUCGAAUAACAAUAGGGUCAAAAGCUCUCUUAAUUUUAUAUGGUAAAAAUAUUAAAUUAUUAGAUAAGAUGAAUUUUUGUAUUAAUUUUUUCCGUGUACCUUCAACGUUCUAUUCAUUUUAGCUAUACUAAGAACGUCGUUGUAUGUAUGUCUGUAUGCAGGCGUGAUUAUAUUGCAUAAUUAACAAUGCGUUUAAAUUGUAAACAAAAUUUGCUAGAGAAAUAAAACAUAUACUUUAGCAUAAACAAUUAAUAUAUAUG